CAAUAAUCCUCCUAAAUCCAUUCCACUUUUUAUCUACAUCUCUUUUUCAUUGGUCCUAUUGUUAAGUAUUAAUUUUUCUCCUGCUUUUCCAAAAUAACCAGACAUAGGGAGCUAGCUGUAAGAGAUCAAAUAUCAUCAAGUAGAAGACAAGAUUAUACAAGAGAACCUCCUUCAGCAAGAAGAGAGGAUUUUACUAGAGAAACAUCAACCAGAAAAGAGGAACCAGUCAGGGAG